GCCUGAAUCGGUGGACUCAGGGGCUAUCAUUAUCACCGGCGAAAGCGCCAAAACCCGCAACGCCCGUCCGGCGGUCAUGACGCUCUCGCAGUCGCUGGGCGACUUUGUGGUCGCCAGCGCCGGGCCGCAUCUGGAAUCGGUCAUUGCCGGUUACGGCGCCGGAGCGCAAAGCUUGUCUGAGCAGCGGAUGUGUCGGGUGCUGAAUAUUGAUAUCGGCGGCGGCACGUCUAACUACGCGCUGUUUGACGCGGGAAAAGUCAGCGGCACCGCUUGCCUUAACGUCGGUGGUCGCCUGCUGGAAACCGACGCUGUAACAUCAAAUCGUACCCCAAACCGACACAGGUGGUCAGGUAGAGAAUACCAAGGCGCUUGAGAGAACUCGGGUGAAGGAACUAGGCAAAAUGGUGCCGUAACUUCGGGAGAAGGCACGCUGACAUGUAGGUGAAGUGAUUUACUCAUGGAGCUGAAGUCAGUCGAAGAUACCAGCUGGCUGCAACUGUUUAUUAAAAACACAGCACUGUGCAAACACGAAAGUGGACGUAUACGGUGUGACGCCUGCCCGGUGCCGGAAGGUUAAUUGAUGGGGUCAGCGCAAGCGAAGCUCCUGAUCGAAGCCCCGGUAAACGGCGGCCGUAACUAUAACGGUCCUAAGGUAGCGAAAUUCCUUGUCGGGUAAGUUCCGACCUGCACGAAUGGCGUAAUGAUGGCCAGGCUGUCUCCACCCGAGACUCAGUGAAAUUGAACUCGCUGUGAAGAUGCAGUGUACCCGCGGCAAGACGGAAAGACCCCGUGAACCUUUACUAUAGCUUGACACUGAACAUUGAGCCUUGAUGUGUAGGAUAGGUGGGAGGCUUUGAAGUGUGGACGCCAGUCUGCAUGGAGCCGACCUUGAAAUACCACCCUUUAAUGUUUGAUGUUCUAACGUGGACCCGUUAUCCGGGUUGCGGACAGUGUCUGGUGGGUAGUUUGACUGGGGCGGUCUCCUCCUAAAGAGUAACGGAGGAGCACGAAGGUUGGCUAAUCCUGGUCGGACAUCAGGAGGUUAGUGCAAUGGCAUAAGCCAGCUUGACUGCGAGCGUGACGGCGCGAGCAGGUGCGAAAGCAGGUCAUAGUGAUCCGGUGGUUCUGAAUGGAAGGGCCAUCGCUCAACGGAUAAAAGGUACUCCGGGGAUAACAGGCUGAUACCGCCCAAGAGUUCAUAUCGACGGCGGUGUUUGGCACCUCGAUGUCGGCUCAUCACAUCCUGGGGCUGAAGUAGGUCCCAAGGGUAUGGCUGUUCGCCAUUUAAAGUGGUACGCGAGCUGGGUUUAGAACGUCGUGAGACAGUUCGGUCCCUAUCUGCCGUGGGCGCUGGAGAACUGAGGGGGGCUGCUCCUAGUACGAGAGGACCGGAGUGGACGCAUCACUGGUGUUCGGGUUGUCAUGCCAAUGGCACUGCCCGGUAGCUAAAUGCGGAAGAGAUAAGUGCUGAAAGCAUCUAAGCACGAAACUUGCCCCGAGAUGAGUUCU
rnacentral:rRNA from 1 species